UACCCAAUAGCUCCAUUGGCAGAGCAUGAGACUCUGGAUCUCUUGGGGUUGUGGGUUUGAGUCCCUUGUGGGGCAA